AUUUAGUAAACAUUUAAAUUUUUCCGACUUUUUCAAUUAAAUUUCGUCGUUUUUCUGUGAUUUUGGGGCAAUAUGAGGAUAUUUUGAGUGCUGCAAAGGGAAGUAAGAUGCCACGAAACAACAGGAACGCCCAAAAUAAUGAGAUAAAUUACUCCAGAUAUGGCAUAGAUGACGAGCCAACUUCUCGCCAAGCAACAGGAUUUGUGGAUUUAGACUACGCUAACGAAUGUGACUAUACACAUCCAUCGGCACCAAAUGAAAUUUAUCAAACGGGCGAAAAGCCUUGGUGGCGUAGCAACUUUUUCAUCUCGCAGCCCGUGUUGUUCGGUACGUGGGAUGGCGUUUUCACGUCGUGCCUCAUCAAUAUUUUCGGCGUCAUUGUGUUCCUACGUUCGGGAUGGAUGGUAGCGCAAGCGGGAAUUAUCGCGUCACUUCUGAUAAUCUUUUGCAGCGUCAUAAUUGGACUGAUUUCGGUGCUGAGUGCAAUCGGGAUUGUCGAAAGAUGUCGCGUGGAGUCGGGCGGCGUGUAUUUUCUCAUUUCACACACAAUGGGAAGUCGAAUUGCCGGCAGUUUUGGCUUGUUGUACUGUUUUGGACAAGCUGUUGGAUGUGCCUUAAAUGUUCUCGGGUUCGGCGAGUCACUUGCUGAGCUUCUGGGACUCAAAAACGUUUGGAUGAUUCGUUUUUUGGCGGCUUGUGCGGUUUUGGUGCUCGCUGUUAUCAAUGUUGCUGGCGUGAAAUGGGUUGUAAAGUUGCAAUUUGCCCUGUUGAUCGUUUUGUUGCUAUCAGCGCUGGAUUUUAUGGUAGGAACGUUCGUGAAAACAGAUCCGGAGCACGGAAUUGAUGGCUGGGGCGAAGGAAAUUUCAUGGAAAAUAUUUGGUCAAAGUAUCAGGACGGCUAUGAUUGGUUCCGGGUGUUUGGUGUCUUCUUUCCGACAAUCACGGGAGUCUUGGCAGGCAUCAAUAUGAGCGGAGACUUGCGAACACCGAGUUCUGACAUCCCCAAUGGGACCCUAGCUGCCUUUUCGACUGCGACAUUUCUCUAUAUGACAUUUAUUUUGUUCCUCGGAGCGAUUUGUACGCGCGAAACGCUCUUAACGGACUUUUCCAUCGCCGCCAAAGCCUCCGCGGUGUCAGUUUUACUGCUCGCAGGUGUUUAUGUCUCGAGUAUGAGCAGCUGUUUGGGCGCCAUGUACGGAACGCCGCGCGUUUUGCAAAGUAUCGCCUUGGAAAAUGUCAUUCCGCGCAUGAAUAUCCUCGGAACGGGACGUGGCGCGAACAAAAUUCCGAUUUACGCAAUGGGAGUUGUCGCUACAAUCACUAUAACGUUCAUCUUUAUCGGAGAUAUCAACACUUUGGCACCAAUUGUGACGAUGCCCUUCCUCCUGACGUACGCCUGCAUCGACUACAGUUACUUUGCCUUGGCGCAAACGUUCGACAUUCAAGUAAAUCGCGAGGAAAGGUAUCGCGUUCAAGCCCAUAGUCCCUCGUAUGGCGCCACAAAUGCUUAUACCGAUGACCUGGAUCAUCUUUUCCCCGAGAGAACGCAACACAAAAGUCUUCAUCAGUCGACGUCGUCGCACAAUGUGAACAGCGAGGCAACUAACGGCACAAAUUCGACAGUUCAGACGCCUCAGGGCGAAGAAACGACAGCAAGUGUGACUGAUACAGCGAGUAUUAAUGCAGCUGAUGACGAACCAAUUGCAGCUCCGAAUCGCCCGACGAUCCAUUCGAAGACCCAAAAUUGGUACAGUGGCUUUUGUAAUCGAUAUGCGUCGUUAUUAGGGGCACUCAUUAAAAUCCUCGUGAUGUUCUUGGUGAACUGGAUUUACGCCAUUUUCUGCAUAUCAAUCGUCUUUAUUGUCUGGUAUUACAUUGGAACAGCAAAUCCCGCCGUCAAACCAGGUUUAGCGCACGAGUUUCGGCUCUUUGUAUGGCUCAAAAAUUCCCUUUUCCAAUGUUUCGGCAAAAAUCGUGAUCAAGCAAUCACCGCAAUUAUCACUCCCUCGUGCACAAUGGACUUAUCACAGCAACAAAUUAACGACGAAAAUGAUGAUUUUUCGUCGCGGCGCCGUUAUCAUCACACGUCAAACGUUCAAGGGCAUUACGUGGUUGAUGCUUAAAAAGCAUUUUUUUUUCGUCAAAAUUUUACUUAACGAGCUUUCUUUUUAUUAAUGUUUAAAAUUUUUAUUUAAGUUAUAAAGUGCAUUCCUAUUUUUAAUGAGAUUUUUAAGAAGUUUCCUCUCAAGGAUUCUCGAAAAAAAAAAAACAAAACCAAUAGUCAUUAUGAUACAAUGUUAGCAUUUUUUAUUGUAAUUCCUGCAUAAUCUUAACAUACAAAAAAGAAGAGAACAAAAAAAAAUAAUAUUUAUGACUUUUUCAUACACAUUCUCACCUACAUUUACAUUU